UACGUAGGGGGCAAGCGUUGUCCGGAAUCAUUGGGCGUAAAGAGCGUGUAGGCGGCCAGGUAGGUCCGUUGUGAAAACUCGAGGCUCAACCUCGAGACGUCGACGGAAACCAUCUGGCUAGAGUCCGGAAGAGGAGAGUGGAAUUCCCGGUGUAGCGGUGGAAUGCGUAGAGAUCGGGAAGAACAUCAGUGGCGAAGGCGGUCUGCUGGGCCGUUGCUGACGCUGAGGCGCGACAGCGUGGGGAGCAAACGGG
rnacentral:rRNA from 1 species